rnacentral:miRNA from 1 species
AGGAUGCUCAGUUCAAGCUGAAUUUCAGAUUGAAAAACAAGUAAUUGUUUAGUAUAAGUAUGUCCCAGGCAACAGUUGGGAUAUACUUAUACUAAAAAAUUAUUUAUUGUUAUUCUGAAAUUCAGAUUUAACUGUGAGUCCU